rnacentral:rRNA from 1 species
UUAUACGACCGUACCGCAAACCGACACUGGUGCGCGAGAUGAGUAUUCUAAGGCGCUUGAGAGAACUCAGGAGAAGGAACUCGGCAAAUUGACACCGUAACUUCGGAAGAAGGUGUGCCCUAUUAGUGUGUAGUGAACAACGAAGCAUGAAUGGGUUGCAAAAAAUCGGUGGCUGCGACUGUUUAUUAAAAACACAGCACUCUGCAAACACGAAAGUGGACGUAUAGGGUGUGACGCCUGCCCGGUGCUGGAAGAUUAAAUGAUGGGGUGCAAGCUCUUGAUUGAAGUCCCAGUAAACGGCGGCCGUAACAAUAACGGUCCUAAGGUAGCGAAAUUCCUUGUCGGGUAAGUUCCGACCUGCACGAAUGGCGUAACGAUGGCCACACUGUCUCCUCCUGAGACUCAGCGAAGUUGAAAUGUUUGUGAUGAUGCAAUCUCCCCGCGGAAAGACGGAAAUACCCCAUGAACCUUUACUGUAGCUUUGUAUUGGACUUUGAACAGAUCUGUGUAGGAUAGGUGGGAGGCUUUGAAGCAGGGUCGCUAGAUCUUGUGGAGCCAACGUUGAAAUACCACCCUGGUGUGUUUGAGGUUCUAACCUAGGUCCAUUAUCUGGAUCGGGGACAGUGCAUGGUAGGCAGUUUGACUGGGGCGGUCUCCUCCCAAAGCGUAACGGAGGAGUUCGAAGGUACGCUAGUUACGGUCGGACAUCGUGACGAUAGUGCAAUGGCAUAAGCGUGCUUAACUGCGAGACUGACAAGUCGAGCAGAUGCGAAAGCAGGACAUAGUGAUCCGGUGGUUCUGUAUGGAAGGGCCAUCGCUCAACGGAUAAAAGGUACUCUGGGGAUAACAGGCUGAUACCGCCCAAGAGUUCAUAUCGACGGCGGUGUUUGGCACCUCGAUGUCGGCUCAUCUCAUCCUGGGGCUGUAGCCGGUCCCAAGGGUAUGGCUGUUCGCCAUUUAAAGAGGUACGUGAGCUGGGUUUAAAACGUCGUGAGACAGUUUGGUCCCUAUCUUCCGUGGGCGCUGCAGAUUUGAGGAAGCCUGCUCCUAGUACGAGAGGACCGGAGUGGACACACCUCUGGUGUAUCGGUUGUCACGCCAGUGGCAUUGCCGAGUAGCUAAGUGUGGAAGAGAUAACCGCUGAAAGCAUCUAAGCGGGAAACUCGUUUCAAGAUGAGAUCUGCCGGGGCCUUGAGCCCCCUAAAGAGUCGUUCAAGACCAGGACGUUGAUAGGUCAGGUGUGGAAGCGAAAAA